rnacentral:rRNA from 1 species
GGAUCUCUGGUGUACCGGUUAUGACGCCAGUCGUAUUGCCGGGUAGCUAAAUCCGGAAGAGAUAACCGCUGAAAGCAUCUAAGCGGGAAACUCGCCUUAAGAUGAGAUUUCCCUGGGGACUUGAUCCCCCUGAAGGGUCGUGGAAGACCACCACGUUGAUAGGUCAGGUGUGGAAGCGCAGUAAUGCGUUAAGCUAACUGAUACUAAUUGCCCGUGAGGCUUGACCCU